ANACUUUCAACAACGGAUCUCUUGGUUCUGGCAUCGAUGAAGAACGCAGCGAAAUGCGAUAAGUAAUGUGAAUUGCAGAAUUCAGUGAAUCAUCGAAUCUUUGAACGCACAUUGCGCCCUUUGGUAUUCCGAAGGGCAUGCCUAUUCGAGCGUCAUU
rnacentral:rRNA from 1 species